rnacentral:rRNA from 1 species
GACGAACGCUGGCGGCGCGCCUAACACAUGCAAGUCGAACGAGCGAGAGAGAGCUUGCUUUCUCGAGCGAGUGGCGAACGGGUGAGUAACGCGUGAGGAACCUGCCUCAAAGAGGGGGACAACAGUUGGAAACGACUGCUAAUACCGCAUAAGCCCACGGGUCGGCAUCGACCAGAGGGAAAAGGAGCAAUCCGCUUUGAGAUGGCCUCGCGUCCGAUUAGCUAGUUGGUGAGGUAAUGGCCCACCAAGGCAACGAUCGGUAGCCGGACUGAGAGGUUGAACGGCCACAUUGGGACUGAGACACGGCCCAGACUCCUACGGGAGGCAGCAGUGGGGAAUAUUGCACAAUGGGGGAAACCCUGAUGCAGCGACGCCGCGUGGAGGAAGAAGGUCUUCGGAUUGUAAACUCCUGUUGUUGGGGAAGAUAAUGACGGUACCCAACAAGGAAGUGACGGCUAACUACGUGCCAGCAGCCGCGGUAAAACGUAGGUCACAAGCGUUGUCCGGAAUUACUGGGUGUAAAGGGAGCGCAGGCGGGAAGACAAGUUGGAAGUGAAAUCUAUGGGCUCAACCCAUAAACUGCUUUCAAAACUGUUUUUCUUGAGUAGUGCAGAGGUAGGCGGAAUUCCCGGUGUAGCGGUGGAAUGCGUAGAUAUCGGGAGGAACACCAGUGGCGAAGGCGGCCUACUGGGCACCAACUGACGCUGAGGCUCGAAAGUGUGGGUAGCAAACAGGAUUAGAUACCCUGGUAGUCCACACCGUAAACGAUGAUUACUAGGUGUUGGAGGAUUGACCCCCUCAGUGCCGCAGUUAACACAAUAAGUAAUCCACCUGGGGAGUACGACCGCAAGGUUGAAACUCAAAGGAAUUGACGGGGGCCCGCACAAGCAGUGGAGUAUGUGGUUUAAUUCGACGCAACGCGAAGAACCUUACCAAGUCUUGACAUCCCUUGACAGACAUAGAAAUAUGUAAUCUCUUCGGAGCAAGGAGACAGGUGGUGCAUGGUUGUCGUCAGCUCGUGUCGUGAGAUGUUGGGUUAAGUCCCGCAACGAGCGCAACCCUUAUGGUCAGUUACUACGCAAGAGGACUCUGGCCAGACUGCCGUUGACAAAACGGAGGAAGGUGGGGAGGACGUCAAAUCAUCAUGCCCUUUAUGACUUGGGCUACACACGUACUACAAUGGCGUUAAACAAAGAGAAGCAAGACCGCGAGGUGGAGCAAAACUCAGAAACAACGUCCCAGUUCGGACUGCAGGCUGCAACUCGCCUGCACGAAGUCGGAAUUGCUAGUAAUCGUGGAUCAGCAUGCCACGGUGAAUAAGAUCCCGGGCCUUGUAC